AAAUGACUCUUGGCAACGGAUAUCCCGGCUCUCGCAUCGAUGAAGAACGUAGCGAAAUGCGAUACUUGGUGUGAAUUGCAGAAUCCCGUGAACCAUCGAGUCUUUGAACGCAAGUUGCGCCCGAAGUCAGUAGGCUGAGGGCACGCCUGCCUGGGUGUCAUGC
rnacentral:rRNA from 1 species